AGUGAACGCUGGCGGUAGGCCUAACACAUGCAAGUCGAACGGCAGCACAGUAAUAGCUUGCUCUUACGGGUGGCGAGUGGCGGACGGGUGAGGAAUACAUCGGAAUCUACUUUUUCGUGGGGGAUAACGUAGGGAAACUUACGCUAAUACCGCAUACGACCUACGGGUGAAAGCAUGGGAUCUUCGGACCUUGCGCGAUUGAAUGAGCCGAUGUCGGAUUAGCUAGUUGGCGGGGUAAAGGCCCACCAAGGCGACGAUCCGUAGCUGGUCUGAGAGGAUGAUCAGCCACACUGGAACUGAGACACGGUCCAGACUCCUACGGGAGGCAGCAGUGGGGAAUAUUGGACAAUGGGCGCAAGCCUGAUCCAGCCAUACCGCGUGGGUGAAGAAGGCCUUCGGGUUGUAAAGCCCUUUUGUUGGGAAAGAAAAGCAGCAGGUUAAUACCCCGCUGUUCUGACGGUACCCAAAGAAUAAGCACCGGCUAACUUCGUG
rnacentral:rRNA from 1 species